rnacentral:rRNA from 1 species
GAAAAUUUUUAAUUAAAUUUAAAAUCUUCAAAACUUUCAACAACGGAUCUCUUGGUUCUCGCAUCGAUGAAGAACGCAGCGAAUUGCGAUAAGUAUUGUGAAUUGCAGAUUUUCGUGAAUCAUCGAAUCUUUGAACGCACAUUGCACCCUCU